GGAAGCUGUUUUGAAGAUAACUACAAGUUCAGACUCAGAAAGUGAAGAUGUUUCCAGGAAAUACUGGCGAUGAUCUACAUUUGCUUCCCAGAAGAUCAAAUCCAGGAAGGGGAUUACCUACACUGUCCAGGCUUUUGGCAGCUUUUCCACGUUUUCAUGCGGCUGUGGACUUCCCAGCAUCUGCACCGAGGUGCACCCAUGAGAGGGUUAGCAGAGCCACACCAUUUGAGCUGCAUCCACAGCAAAGCCACAACAACAUUCCCGAGGGCCUGGUAGAUGUGCAGAGCCUCAGACCUCCUCCCAGACCUCCGAGAUCAGAAUAUGCAUUUUAACAAGAAGCCCAGUGAUUUGUGUGCACGAUGGAAUUUGAAAAGCAUUGCUGUAAAAGGCGUACCAGAAAGUGCCAUCACUCUGUCAGGGG
rnacentral:lncRNA from 1 species